AAUAGAUGAUGCCGUUAACUUUUUCUCACAUGUUUGACCAUUCAUCUUAUUCAAAAAAUUUACGUACUUAUAAUUUAUUUUAUUAUAAGUUGUUUUAUCACUUAUAGUAUUUUAAGUGUGAUUUAUAUCUUAUACAUUUGCAUAAAAAUUUUUGAAUAAGACGAAUGGUCAAACAUGUGAGAAAAAGUCAACAUCGUCAUCUAUU
rnacentral:pre_miRNA from 1 species